rnacentral:misc_RNA from 1 species
GAAAUGCGAUAAGUAAUGUGAAUUGCAGAAUUCAGUGAAUCAUCGAAUCAUUGAACGCACAUUGCGCCCGCCAGUAUUCUGGCGGGCAUGCCUGUUCGAGCGUCAUUUCAACCAUCAAGCCCCCGGGCUUGUGUUGGGGACCUGCGGCUGCCGCAGGCCCCGAAAACCAGUGGCGGGCUCGCUGUCACACCGGGCGUAGUAGAUUUUUCGUCUCGCCCAGGGCGUGCUGCGGGUUCCGGCCGUUAAAAAGCCUCUCUUUUUAACCCAAGGUUGACCUCGGAUCAGGUAGGAAGACCCGCUGAACUUAAGC